rnacentral:snRNA from 1 species
GGACGUGAGGGUGAUCUGGCUGCAACGUCUGUCACCCCACUGAUUGCCAGGGUUGAUUUGGCUGAUCUGGCUGGUUAGGCAGGUGUCCCCUUCCUCCCUCACCACUCCAUCUGCCUUUCUCCCCAAGCUGUGCUCUUCGUCGAAGAGGGCCUUCCCCUCUGGAGGAGGACUAACUGUUCUUGGGUCAAGGGUAUACCAGUAGCUGCACUCUCCUGCUAGAAUCUCCAGACCAGCUCUCAGGGUCCAUUUGUAGAGCAUAGGGUAGUCAAGCUCCCAAGACUCCAGACACAUUCAAAUGAGGUGCUGCAUGUGGCAACCUUCCAUU